GAGUAAUGCAUCGGAACGUGCCCAGUCGUGGGGGAUAACGCAGCGAAAGCUGUGCUAAUACCGCAUACGAUCUAUGGAUGAAAGCGGGGGAUCGCAAGACCUCGCGCGAUUGGAGCGGCCGAUGUCAGAUUAGCUAGUUGGUGGGGUAAAGGCCCACCAAGGCGACGAUCUGUAGCUGGUCUGAGAGGACGACCAGCCACACUGGGACUGAGACACGGCCCAGACUCCUACGGGAGGCAGCAGUGGGGAAUUUUGGACAAUGGGCGCAAGCCUGAUCCAGCAAUGCCGCGUGCAGGAAGAAGGCCUUCGGGUUGUAAACUGCUUUUGUACGGAACGAAAAGGUCUGGGUUAAUACCCUGGGCUCAUGACGGUACCGUAAGAAUAAGCACCGGCUAACUACGUG
rnacentral:rRNA from 1 species